UACUUAGACCAUUCUAAGCUUGGAAUGACGUUGCUGUUAGUUAUGUAUUUGAUCUGUCAGGGUGCGGUUCUUCUCUAGUUUGACUUUUAUUCUUUGACUCUGCAGGAUAUGGAUCCAAUGACUUCAUCAAUUGUACUACAUCGCAGAUGGUGAACAAUUCAUAGAAUCUUCUAUUCUAUAUAGGUAGGUUUCUCCUGUGUCUACUUGCUAAAGUAAUAGUCUCUUGCCCAGAGAAGCUAGUGGAUGAGGGGAGGACGUUUGAUGCUGUUCUCGCCUUAGAGGUCAUCCAGCAUGUAGCCAACCCUGCAAAUCCUUGUCAGCAUUGACCAUCCAUCCCCAACGGAGCCACAAUACUCUCUACAAUUAACCGCUCUGUGCGAGCAGAGUACAUUCUACAAUGGGUAAUCUUCAGUCUCUUGUUAACACCAAGUUUUACAUUUGGUCUUUUGUAAAAUCAAAUCACCUGCAGCUUCCUAAAGGCUGCACACACCAGUGGUCAAGCUUUCUAACUCCUGAAGAACUUACUAUGAUUCUACAACGCACGUCACUUGAUGUGAAGGAGAUGGCUGGAUUUGUAUACAACCCGAUAACAGGAAGAUGGUUAUUGUCACAGACGACAUAGGCGUAAACUUUAUCGCUUAUGGGACCAAAAAAGAAUGAUUCUGUAGAGUUAUAAUCCAUCGUUCAAGCCUUGUGUUUCUGCAUAUCUGCUCCAAGAAGUUGCUUAGAAGAGUACAGUAGUUAAAUUCGCAAUAAGUGAGAAUUGUAUACAACCUAAAAACUU